rfam:Neotoma lepida isolate 417 scaffold_137, whole genome shotgun sequence.
CUUCAUCAAGGCAAAACGUCUUCAGAAAAAAGUUUCGCUAAAUUAGGAGGAUUCCGGGGCAUCCUCGGUCAAGCUCCUAUGGUAUCACAUACAUAGCGCCAGGGCACACCAAAAGCUCCUGCGUCACCUCCGCAUCCGUGAG